ensembl:lncRNA novel transcript
CCAGACUGAUCCAAUUAUUACAGCUUCAUAGUAAGGUGGUGUUUGGAAUGCACCACACUCUCGAUGUGCGUACAGAGAAGAUGGCUGGCUGGCUGGAUCCAGGGUUUUAAUGUUUCCAGGACAAGAGCAUGGGAACAACCAUCUCCUGGAAUGGCCCUUCCACAGGAAGAGAGGAGGACACAUGGCACAGAGGAAGGAUGGGGCACCUGGAUUCAAAAUCUGCUUACACCAUCCACGGAGCCUGGGAUGUUGAAGAAUUAGUUUUUUCUCUUGGAACUUGCUUUCCUUACUUGUAAAAUAAAGUUAAUCCUACAAAC